rnacentral:rRNA from 1 species
GACGAACGCUGGCGGCGUGCCUAACACAUGCAAGUCGAGCGGGGUCCAUCCGGUAGCAAUACCGGGGAAGACCUAGCGGCGAACGGGUGAGUAACACGUGAGAAACCUGCCCCGAAGUCUGGGAUAACCCGAGGAAACUCGAGCUAAUACCGGAUGUCUUCUUCUGAUCGCAUGGUCGGAUGAAGAAAGAUUUAUCGCUUCGGGAGGGUCUCGCGGCCUAUCAGCUAGUUGGCGGGUAACGGCCCACCAAGGCGUCGACGGGUAGCUGGUCUGAGAGGACGAUCAGCCACACUGGGACUGAGACACGGCCCAGACUCCUACGGGAGGCAGCAGUGGGGAAUAUUGCGCAAUGGGCGAAAGCCUGACGCAGCAACGCCGCGUGCGGGAUGAAGGCCUUCGGGUUGUAAACCGCUUUCAGUGGGGACGAAGUUCAGACGGUACCCACAGAAGAAG